rnacentral:rRNA from 1 species
GAUGAACGCUGGCGGCGUGCCUAAUACAUGCAAGUCGAGCGAACAGACGAGGAGCUUGCUCCUCUGAUGUUAGCGGCGGACGGGUGAGUAACACGUGGAUAACCUACCUAUAAGACUGGGAUAACUUCGGGAAACCGGAGCUAAUACCGGAUAACAUGUUGAACCGCAUGGUUCAACAGUGAAAGACGGUCUUGCUGUCACUUAUAGAUGGAUCCGCGCCGCAUUAGCUAGUUGGUAAGGUAACGGCUUACCAAGGCAACGAUGCGUAGCCGACCUGAGAGGGUGAUCGGCCACACUGGAGCUGAGACACGGUCAAGACUCCUACGGGAGGCAGCAGUAGGGAAUCUUCCGCAAUGGGCGAAAGCCUGACGGAGCAACGCCGCGUGAGUGAAGAAGGUCUUCGGAUCGUAAAACUCUGUUAUUAGGGAAGAACAAAUGUGUAAGUAACUAUGCACGUCUUGACGGUACCUAAUCAGAAAGCCACGGCUAACUACGUG